AGUAGGAAGUUAAUUAUUUGUUCAGGAUGGAUGAUCAGGAAUGGGGUAAGAAGCCCCAGCAGUCACUAAGGUGAAUGAAGCAAAGCUCAUGAGUCAAGACACUUGCUAGAAAUGAAUCCAUCUA
rnacentral:ncRNA from 1 species